UACAGAGGUGGCGAACGUUGUUCGGAUUUACUGGGCGUAAAGGGUCCGCAGGCGGUCCUGUAUGUCGGGUGUGAAAGCUCACGGCUCAACCGUGGAAUUGCACUCGAAACUGCAGGACUAGAGUACUGGAGGGGAGAAGGGAACACUUGGUGUAGCGGUGAAAUGCGUAGAUAUCAAGUGGAACACCGGCGGCGAAGGCGCUUCUCUGGACAGAUACUGACGCUCAUGGACGAAAGUUAGGGUAGCGAAAGGG
rnacentral:rRNA from 1 species